rnacentral:rRNA from 1 species
GACGAACGCUGGCGGCGUGCUUAACACAUGCAAGUCGAACGGAAAGGCCCUGCUUGCAGGGUACUCGAGUGGCGAACGGGUGAGUAACACGUGGGUGAUCUGCCCUGCACUUCGGGAUAAGCCUGGGAAACUGGGUCUAAUACCGGAUAGGAGCCAUUUUUAGUGUGAUGGUUGGAAAGUUUUUUCGGUGUGGGAUGAGCUCGCGGCCUAUCAGCUUGUUGGUGGGUUAAUGGCCUACCAAGGCGCCGACGGGUAGCCGGCCUGAGAGGGUGGACGGCCACAUUGGGACUGAGAUACGGCCCAGACUCCUACGGGAGGCAGCAGUGGGGAAUAUUGCACAAUGGGCGCAAGCCUGAUGCAGCGACGCCGCGUGGGGGAUGACGGCCUUCGGGUUGUAAACUCCUUUCGCUAGGGACGAAGCUUUUUGUGACGGUACCUAGAUAAGAAGCACCGGCUAACUACGUG